ensembl:snRNA U6 U6 spliceosomal RNA
GUGCUCGCUUCGGCAGCACAUGCACUGAAAUUAGAACGACACAGAGAAGAUUAGCACGGCCCCUGUGCAAGGAUAACAAAUUGGUGACGUGCUCCAUAUUUGU